GAUGAGCGCUGGCGGCGUGCCUAAUACAUGCAAGUCGAGCGAACAGACGAGGAGCUUGUUCCUCUGACGUUAGCGGCGGACGGGUGAGUAACACGUGGAUAACCUACCUAUAAGACUGGGAUAACUUCGGGAAACCGGAGCUAAUACCGGAUAAUAUAUUGAACCGCAUGGUUCAAUAGUGAAAGACGGUUUUGCUGUCACUUAUAGAUGGAUCCGCGCCGCAUUAGCUAGUUGGUAAGGUAACGGCUUACCAAGGCAACGAUGCGUAGCCGACCUGAGAGGGUGAUCGGCCACACUGGAACUGAGACACGGUCCAGACUCCUACGGGAGGCAGCAGUAGGGAAUCUUCCGCAAUGGGCGAAAGCCUGACGGAGCAACGCCGCGUGAGUGAUGAAGGUCUUCGGAUCGUAAAACUCUGUUAUUAGGGAAGAACAAAUGUGUAAGUAACUAUGCACGUCUUGACGGUACCUAAUCAGAAAGCCACGGCUAACUACGUG
rnacentral:rRNA from 1 species